rnacentral:lncRNA from 1 species
ACAUGGAAGCUAUAUAUGGUAUGAAGCAAAUGUUCUAUUUGAAACUAAUGCUAUAUCUUGUUCAUUUAGUUUCCUUGUUGCAUUAAGAGAAGGCGACAACUCCUUUUGUUUAACAUCUGCAUACUUUCCCAAAAAUAAACUUCCAAGAUGGUACUCGAAAGUUUAUGCCACUAAUAAAAAUAACCUGGAAAGAUAACAAAUAAGCUCCAAAAGAUUUAAAAAGUGAGAAAACUAACCGGAUAUUAGUUAUAUUUUUUCAUAAAAUACUUUAGAUAUUAGAUUUCGAUGCGAUUUUUUGUAAGUAUUAUUAGAAAAAAGAGACUUUGUCAUAGUUAAAAUUUGGUGAUUUGUCAAGGAAUUUUUUCAAUAUUUUUUGUGAAUGAUUGAAUUUAAAAUAAAAUGCACAAGUUGUUUGCUAAAUACAAAAUUCCUUUAUCAUUUAUGUAAAAAAAAUGAUAUUUUUGUUAAUUUUGUCACGUUUUUAAAUCUUUUGAGACUUCUUGUCAUUCAUAGAAAUCUUAUUUGGUUAUUUUUCAUAGCGAUAUGAGUUUUUUGGUGCAAUUUCAGUAGUUUACCUUGUUCCUAAUAGCAUGUGAGCUAUUUUUAGCUCAAUUUGUUAGUUACUUUAUAAGCUAAGCUCUUGAGCCGGUGAGCUACUGAGCUUGAGCUAAAAAUUUGAGCUCAUUUAUUAAAUGAGUCAAACUUAACUUUGCUAUGAUCCAUGAGCAAGGUUGUAUAUUCAUUUAUCGGUUCACAUAGAUAUGUAGAUGCCUGAGACCUUGGCAUAAUAUCACCUAUAUCAUUAUAUAUUAUCAAUAAUAAUAUAUAAUAUCUCAAUUAUUUGCAUAAUGUGUCUUGUAGAUUAAAUAUGUUGAAAAUAAGUAUGUACUUAUAGCCAAAAGCUUAAUUAAUAUCUAAGGGUUAAUGUUUAAAAUGGUCUUUGAAAUUUUACUCGUGCAUCAAGAUUCCAUAAUAAGAUUAAGCUCAAUAAUAAAUCAGUCAAACCAUGAGUUGAGCUAAAUAUUAUCAAGCUGAGUUUGAGCAUUGUCAAUUUUGGGGUUGACUUUGCGUAAUUUCAACCCUUGAUUUUGUUUUUGUUCUUUCACACUGAAUGAAAAUCUUGGAAUCUUCCAGAAUACUCUAGUUAUGAUGUCUAUUAUUAUCUGUAGAGUCAGAAGAAGGUUAAAUGCCUGCUAAAGCUAUUAUGCGCACUAACAGUACCAUCCUCUUCAUCUCCUUAGAGGAUGGCCAUGUAAAUUUGGUGGCGCCUAGUUCAUCAUUUUUCAUUUAAUGUUCUACAGUUUUAGAUGAAUGCCAUUGACUAAUUAGAUCGAAGAAAUGCAAGUAUUGGUUUUCAGUUGCUAGACCAUUCUACAAAGUUGCUUAUACCAUAUAGUUUCAAAUUCAGUGUUGGUUUAUACUUGGGGAAGCAUAAUUGUUAGAUUAUUACAUAGUUACAUUGAGGUUCAGUUAUUUAGUCAGUAAUGAGAAUUAUUCUCCUAAAUAUGUAUGUUAGGAUUGGUUUCAUUCUGUUAAGAGUAGUACAAACUACUUAAAAUGAGUAUGUAAGUGAUAGCUAUGAUUGAUUGUAUCGGUCAACCUCAUUUUAAAUUUAUGCUUAGAUUUUUCUCCCAGCCUA